GACGAACGCUGGCGGCGUGCUUAACACAUGCAAGUCGAACGAAGUGGCGAACGGGUGAGUAACGCGUAAUCAACCUGCCCUUCAGAGGGGGACAACAGUUGGAAACGACUGCUAAUACCGCAUACUGAAGGAGGGGAUUGCGUCUGAUUAGCUAGUUGGAGGGGUAACGGCCCACCAAGGCGAUGAUCAGUAGCCGGUUGGAGAGGAUGAACGGCCAAAUUGGGACUGAGGAACGGUCCAAACCCCUUCGGGAGGUAGCAGGAGGGAAUAUUGCGCAAUGGGGGAAACCCAUACGCAGCAACGCCGCGUGGAGGAUGAAACUUUGCGGAGCGUAAACUCCUUUUGUUAGGGAAGCGGUACCUAAAGAAUAAGCACCGGCUAACUCCGUGCCAGCCGCCGCGGUAAUAG
rnacentral:rRNA from 1 species